AAUUCAAAAAGAUAAAUGUCCCUAUGUUCACUGCCGCAUUAUUACAAUUGCCAAGAUAUGGAAGCAACACAAGUCUCCAUCAACAGAUGAGUGAACAAAACAACUUUGGGACAUUUACACAAAUGGAAUACUACUCAGCCAUAAAAA